CAGAACCAAGAGAUCCGUUGUUGAAAGUUUUGCUUUUAUUUUGUAAUAUACUCAGACAUUGGACACGAUUUGAUUCAAGAGUUUGGUAGAAUUGGCUACCGGCGGGCGCGGGCCAGAGGACCUGAAUAGGCGGUCCUCCGGCGGCCGUCGAAACGGCGGGCCCGCCGAAGCAACAUGGGUCGGGUAAACAAAGGGUUGGGAGGUCGGGCCUGAGAAGACCCUAACUCGUUAAUGAUCCCU
rnacentral:misc_RNA from 1 species